rnacentral:rRNA from 1 species
AUGUCUGGUCAUCUUGUGGUUCAUAUGACAGAUUUUAGAACAAAAUUAGCUGUCAUUUUAGUCGACUCUGAAUUCAAUGAUGAUGAUAUAAGAAACCGAGACUUGGAUGAUGAUGAAACCAACACGGAUCCCACCGAUUGUAUGAUCAUCGAAAGACCUCCUAACAAACCCAAAGCAUCCAACUCAUCAUCACAAGUUGAGCUCAUCUCGCAAUCAUUUAUCCUUUCGCCGUUUGUCACUCCAACAAACGACGACUUAAUGGAUGAACUUUGCUUGUUCAUCAGCAUGGUUGAUGAUAUCCCUUUGCUAGAGAGCGAAUGGGUGAAAAGCUCUCAACCUUAUCCUAUUAGUUUGAACUUGAGACAAUUAAAGAACAUAUUAAAGAAUGAUGAGUACAUGGAUGCUGGUUGUUUUAACAUGGCUGUGAGGAUACUAGCGUGCCACGACGUCCAGCUUGCUAGAGAUGUCCCAACACACUAUAUGGAUCUACGAUUCUGUUCCAUGUCCCACGAUGCACGAGUCCCAAGUCAUCGUGAUGGUAUGGACAUUGAUAUGUUGACACAACUAUUUGAUAGCUGGCCUAAUAGCAAUGAGUAUCAUAUCUCAGAAUGUGACACGAUUUUAUUGCCUUGUGAUAUUCUUGGACUAUUUUUAUUGUUCAUCUUGGACCAACAAAAAAAAGUUGUUUCUAUUUUGGACCCGCUUUCAAUACCUACUUUCGGAAAGCAUAUACUUAAAACUAAGGUCAACGAUCUAAACCUUGCACUUCAAACUGCAAACCCUGCCUUUAAGGACGACAUUAUAAAAUGGGGAUGCAAAGUUCCCGUUCUUCCCACAAAUUCAUACGGUCCCCUGUCUGGUUAUUUGAUUUUCAAUUUAAUGCACUCAUGGCAUGAUGGAACGCUACAUUUUCCAGUACCCAAGGAUAAUUUUGAACUAAGGAAGCGAUUUUUGGUUCAUAUUUUGAAGUAUGAAGAGAAUGAAGUUCUAAACAAUAUCCCAGUCUUAGAACGAAGCAGUAUAGAUCGAAUCAAAAGAUGGACCUUCCAGAGAGGAUCAUCAUCAAAUGAUGAUUACUAG